rnacentral:rRNA from 1 species
GACAGAGGUGGCAAGCGUUGUUCGGAAUUACUGGGCUUAAAGGGCGCGUAGGCGUCCCGACAAGUCAGAUGUGGAAGCUUCCCGCUUAACGGGGAAAUUGCAUCUGAAACUGUCGGGAUUGAGUCAGCGAGGGGAUGGCGGAAUUCCAGGUGUAGCGGUGAAAUGCGUAGAUAUCUGGAGGAAGGCCGGUGGCGAAGGCGGCCAUCUGGCGCUGAACUGACGCUGAGGCGCGAAAGCGUGGGGAGCAAACAGG